rnacentral:rRNA from 1 species
GAUGAACGCUAGCUACAGGCUUAACACAUGCAAGUCGAGGGGUAACGAGAGGGAAGCUUGCUUUCCUUGUCGACGACCGGCGGAUGGGUGAGUAACGCGUAUCCAACCUGCCCUUCAGUAAGGGAUAGCCUUUCGAAAGAAAGAAUAAUACCUUAUGUGAUCGUCUGAUGACAUCAGACGACGAUGAAAGAUUUAUCGCUGAAGGAUGGGGAUGCGUCCCAUUAGGCAGUAGGCGGGGUAACGGCCCACCUAACCUACGAUGGGUAGGGGUUCUGAGAGGAAGGUCCCCCACAUUGGAACUGAGACACGGUCCAAACUCCUACGGGAGGCAGCAGUGAGGAAUAUUGGUCAAUGGCCGUAAGGCUGAACCAGCCAAGUAGCGUGCAGGAUGACGGCCCUAUGGGUUGUAAACUGCUUUUAAACGGGGAUAAAGUGAGCCACGUGUGGUUUAUUGCAGGUACCGUUUGGAUAGGGACCGGCUAAUUCCGUGCCAGCCGCCGCCGUAA